rnacentral:misc_RNA from 1 species
AAGUCGUAACAAGGUUUCCGUAGGUGAACCUGCGGAAGGAUCAUUAAAUAAUCAAUAAUUUUGGCUCGUCCAUUAUUAUCUAUUUACUGUGAACUGUAUUAUUACUUGACGCUUGAGGGAUGCUCCACUGCUAUAAGGAUAGGCGGUAGAGAUGUUAACCGAGUCAUAGUCAAGCUUAGGCUUGGUAUCCUAUUAUUAUUUACCAAAAGAAUUCAGAAUUAAUAUUGUAACAUAGACCUAAAAAAUCUAUAAAACAACUUUUAACAACGGAUCUCUUGGUUCUG